rnacentral:rRNA from 1 species
ACAUCCCGGAGACCCUUAGGAAACUAGGGGGUGCUUCCAUCUGGAAGAAUCUGGAGACAGGUGCUGCAUGGCUGUCGUCAGCUCGUGUCGUGAGAUGUUGGGUUAAGUCCCGCAACGAGCGCAACCCUUGCCUUUAGUUGCCAGCAGUUCGGCUGGGCACUCUAAAGGGACUGCCGGUGUUAAACCGGAGGAAGGUGGGGAUGACGUCAAGUCCUCAUGGCCUUUAUGACCAGGGCUACACACGUACUACAAUGGCCGAUACAAAGGGCAGCGACACUGCGAGGUGAAGCCAAUCCCGUAAAAUCGGUCUCAGUCCGGAUUGGAGUCUGCAACUCGACUCCAUGAAGUUGGAAUCGCUAGUAAUCGUGGAUCAGCAUGCCACGGUGAAUACGUUCCCGGGCCUC